GACGGAGGGCGCAAGCGUUGUUCGGAAUUACUGGGCGUAAAGCGCGGGCAGGCGGUCUGUUAAGUCGUUUGUGAAAAUCCGGGGCUCAACUCCGGAAAUGCGUACGAUACUGGCAGGCUGGAGAUCGGUAGAGGCUAGCGGAAUUCCUGGUGUAGCGGUGGAAUGCGUAGAUAUCAGGAAGAACACCUGUGGCGAAGGCGGCUAGCUGGGCCGAGUCUGACGCUCAUCCGCGAAAGCGUGGGGAGCAAACAGGAUUAGAAACCCCCGUAGUCC
rnacentral:rRNA from 1 species